UGGGGAAUUUUGGACAAUGGGGGAAACCCUGAUCCAGCCAUCCCGCGUGUGCGUUGAAGGCCUUCUGGUUGUAAAGCACUCUUGGCAGGAAAGAAACGUCAUGGGUUAAUACCCCGUGAAACUGACGGUACUUGCAGACUAAGCACCCGCUAACUACGUGCCAGCAGCCGCGGUAAUACGUAGGGUGCAAGCGUUAAUCGGAAUUACUGGGCGUAAAGCGUGCGUAGGCGGUUCGGAAAGAAAGAUGUGAAAUCCCAGAGCUCAACUUUGGAAGUGCAGUUAUAACUAACGGGAUAGAGUGUGUCAGAGGGAGGUGGAAUUCCGCGUGUAGCAGUGAAAUGCGUAGAUAUGGGGAGGAACACCGAUGGCGAAGGCAGCCGCCUGGGAUAACACAGACGGUCAUGCACGAAAGCGUGGGGAGCAAACAGG
rnacentral:rRNA from 1 species